rnacentral:precursor_RNA from 13 species
UUAUACAGGUGUAACACAGGUGGUACGCCCUUUCCUCUCUGCCCCAUAGGGUGUAGCUCUAACUGCCCUCUAGGGAAGAGAAGGUUGGGUGAGCAGCCUCCAGCUCAAUGGCUACCAG